rnacentral:rRNA from 1 species
UACGUAGGGGGCGAGCGUUGUUCGGAUUUACUGGGCGUAAAGAGCGCGUAGGUGGUUCGAUGAGUCGGAUGUGAAAUCCCUCGGCUUAACCGAGGACCCGCGUCCGAUACUGUCGAACUUGAGUGCAGGAGAGGAGAGCGGAAUUCCCAGUGUAGCGGUGAAAUGCGUAGAUAUUGGGAGGAACACCGGUGGCGAAGGCGGCUCUCUGGACUGUCACUGACACUGAGGCGCGAAAGCUAGGGGAGCAAACGGG